GCUACAGGCUUAACACAUGCAAGUCGAGGGGCAGCAUCAUUAAAGCUUGCUUUGAUGGAUGGCGACCGGCGCACGGGUGAGUAACACGUAUCCAACCUGCCGACAACACUGGGAUAGCCUUUCGAAAGAAAGAUUAAUACCGGAUGGCAUAGUUUUCCCGCAUGGGAUAAUUAUUAAAGAAUUUCGGUUGUCGAUGGGGAUGCGUUCCAUUAGGCAGUUGGCGGGGUAACGGCCCACCAAACCAACGAUGGAUAGGGGUUCUGAGAGGAAGGUCCCCCACAUUGGAACUGAGACACGGUCCAAACUCCUACGGGAGGCAGCAGUGAGGAAUAUUGGUCAAUGGACGAGAGUCUGAACCAGCCAAGUAGCGUGAAGGAUGACUGCCCUAUGGGUUGUAAACUUCUUUUAUACGGGAAUAAAGUGAGCCACGUGUGGCUUUUUGUAUGUACCGUAUGAAUAAGGAUCGGCUAGCUCCGUGCCAGCAGCCGCGGUAAUACGGAGGAUCCGAGCGUUAUCCGGAUUUAUUGGGUUUAAAGGGAGCGUAGGCGGGUUGUUAAGUUAGUUGUGAAAGUUUGCGGCUCAACCGUAAAAUUGCAGUUGAUACUGGCGACCUUGAGUGCAACAGAGGUAGGCGGAAUUCGUGGUGUAGCGGUGAAAUGCUUAGAUAUCACGAAGAACUCCGAUUGCGAAGGCAGCCUGCUAAGCUGCAACUGACAUUGAGGCUCGAAAGUGUGGGUAUCAAACAGGAUUAGAUACCCUGGUAGUCCACACGGUAAACGAUGAAUACUCGCUGUUUGCGAUAUACUGCAAGCGGCCAAGCGAAAGCGUUAAGUAUUCCACCUGGGGAGUACGCCGGCAGCGGUGAAACUCAAAGGAAUUGACGGGGGCCCGCACAAGCGGAGGAACAUGUGGUUUAAUUCGAUGAUACGCGAGGAACCUUACCCGGGCUUAAAUUGCAGAUGAAUUACGGUGAAAGCCGUAAACCGCAAGGCAUCUGUGAAGGUGCUGCAUGGUUGUCGUCAGCUCGUGCCGUGAGGUGUCGGCUUAAGUGCCAUAACGAGCGCAACCCUUGUUGUCAGUUACUAACAGGUUCCGCUGAGGACUCUGACAAGACUGCCAUCGUAAGAUGUGAGGAAGGUGGGGAUGACGUCAAAUCAGCACGGCCCUUACGUCCGGGGCUACACACGUGUUACAAUGGGGGGUACAGGGGGCCGCUACCACGCGAGUGGAUGCCAAUCCCCAAAACCUCUCUCAGUUCGGACUGGAGUCUGCAACCCGACUCCACGAAGCUGGAUUCGCUAGUAAUCGCGCAUCAGCCACGGCGCGGUGAAUACGUUCCCGGGCCUUGUACACACCGCCCGUCAAGCCAUGGGAGCCGGGGGUACCUGAAGUGCGUAACCGCGAGGAGCGCCCUAGGGUAAAACUGGUGACUGGGGCUAAGUCAUAAC
rnacentral:rRNA from 1 species